rnacentral:sRNA from 1 species
UAAGAGAAGAAACAGAGUUUUCUUUAGAAAAGAAAAACGUUUAUGACCAAUACAUGUGCUACUUAGACCUGAACUGUUUGAACAAUUUCAAUAGUAGUUCGAAUCUGUCAAUGGCAUAGACAGCCUUUCGAACUAUACCAUCGACAAUAUAAUUAAUUCCUUCGUAGAAAGUUUCCAUCAGCUUAAGGGUUAUGCUUAUAUUUCUCUCAAUGCUUGAUGGUUCCUCCUGCCAACCUUGUACCGUCGUUUUUGUUUCUCAUAAGUAACUAUGUAGUUAGAGUACGGUGGGAUGCGGGAUUUCCAUACCAGCACAUCAAACUUGUCUUCAGCAGGAAUAUCAGCACCCAGUUUCAAAUCUUGUGAUGUUAGUUUUGGUAGCUCACUUCCAGGGCCAGCCACCCUAACAUCGUAAACCAGGCAGCCUUGAACUUGAGCACCCACAAAGGCUACCCUGGUGAAAUCAAGAGGGGCAUUUCUUUCAAGAAGAUCUUCAGGGUGUACACCAAAGGAAGACAAGUGCUUUUGUGCCACCUCUCUUAUGCAUAAUAACAUGCUCUGCCAGAACUGGGUGCUGGGAUUAGCUCUUAAUAGUCCACCUACUACGGUCGCACCAAGAAAUCCUCCCCUCAUCUCAGUAGCCAACUGCAUACCCAGAGAUGCUAGCUUUGGAUGCUCAUCAGGGUCCAUACUUCCAAAGGCAAGCGCCUUGAAGUAGUACCAGUACUCUUCUUCAGACAGCCUCUUCAGCCUGAUGGGUUGGGCUGUCCCAAACUUAAGAAUGUCCUCUGUUGUACCUAUCACUACAACCUUAAUUCCAGUACCGGGCAUAUUCUGCAAAUAUGAUUGAAAUUUUGUCCAAGCUGCCUCAUCCACAUCCCAAAUGAACUCAAUAACAAACAAAUAUUUCCCUUGAGAAGCCUUGGAGUUAAGCGAGAGCUCUCCGGUCUUCAGAUUGUCUUCUUUAAAGAAAAAUAUAUGGGAGAAGCAGUUGCGCACCCUCUCAUCCAGGCAAGCAUGUUGCACAAGAGUUUUUUUCCCAAUCCUUUGAGGGCCAAUAAUAGGAAGAAUGCUAACAUAUGGAUCAUGAGGAUCAUUGCAAAGCAAGAAAUUGAUGACUUGCUCCUUCUCAAUACGGCGACCAAACAUACAGUUAUCUAUGUAUAGAUAUGUACUGUAAGGCUGACGUGGUAGACGAGUCUGGCUACCAAGGAGAAUGACAAAUUCCCUCAUAUCUGCAAUCUUAGUUUCUAAACCAUCAACAACAUCUUUCAGGUUUGUUUUGCUCUUGCUACCAAAGGCUACUGGUGUGCGUUUUCUUAUGGCAUCAGCAAAACGAAAGCGCUUGCGAGAGUUACAGGCAGACAAGGCAAAUGACUGAAUCUCAUGACUCACCUCAUCUUCGAUGCUCUCUUCUUCGGAGGGUUGGAACUUGAUCUUGUCGAGCAUGUAGUAUCCGAGGUAGAAUCCCUCAAUAAGUCCCUUUAGCUGCAGGAGCAUUCCUUGAUUUGUGAUAUGGCGCCUUUCUGCUUCCUCAACAACAGAGUGCAUCCUCAGCAAGAUGCGCUCCAGCCUUCUACGAUCAUCCUCCUUACAAGUAUGGUUGUUGUAAUUUUGCGCUAAAGAAGAGAUGAACCGGCCGAUAAGAUCACUUGCCACAGCAGAAACCAGAAACUCCAUGCUUACCAAGCUAAAGCUCUUCUUGAGUUCUUGGGAGCAAGUAGUCAAAAUGGGACUUUUCAGAGCGAGAGA